GAUGAACGCUGGCGGCGUGCCUAAUACAUGCAAGUCGAGCGAACGGACGAGAAGCUUGCUUUUCUGAUGUUAGCGGCGGACUUGUGAGUAACACGUGGAUAACCUACCUAUAAGACUGGGAUAACUUCGGGAAACCGGAGCUAAUACCGUAUAAUAUUUUGAUCCUCAUGGUUCAAAAGUGAAAGACGGUCUUGCUGUCACUUAUAGAUGGAACCGCGCUGCAUUAGCUAGUGGGUAAGGUAACGGCUUACCAAGGCAACGAUGCAUAGCCGACCUGAGAGGGUGAUCGGCCACACUGGAACUGAGACACGGCACAGACUCCUACGGGAGGCAGCAGUAGGGAAUUUUCCGAUAUGGGCGAAAGCCUGACGGAGAAACGCCGCGUGAGUGAUGAAGGUCCUCGGAUCGUAAAACUCUGUUAUUAGGGAAGAACAUAUGUGUAAGUAACUGUGCACAUCUUGACGGUACCUAAUCAGAAAGCAACGGCUAACUACGU
rnacentral:rRNA from 1 species